ensembl:miRNA xtr-mir-9b xtr-mir-9b
GUUUCUGUCUUUGGUUACCUAGCUGUAUGAGUAUAACUAAUGUCAUAAAGCUAGACAACCGAACGUAUAAACCA